rnacentral:rRNA from 1 species
UUUCGCAAUGCCCGAAAGGGUGACAAUGCGACGCCGCGUGAGCGAUGAAGGCCUUCGGGUUGUAAAGCUCUUUCAGCAGGGAUGAAGGCAGAACGGUUAAUAGCCGUUCUGCUUGACGGUACCUGUAGAAGAAGCCACGGCUAACUCCGUGCCAGCAGCCGCGGUAAUACGGAGGUGGCAAGCGUUGUUCGGAUUUACUGGGUGUAAAGGAUGUGUAGGCGUCUUUUUAAGUCGGGUGUGAAAUCCCAUGGCUCAACCAUGGAACUGCCGUUGAAACUGCCUUGCUUGAGUGCAGGAGGGGAGAGUGGAAUUCCUAGUGUAGCGGUGAAAUGCGUAGAUACUAGGAGGAACGCCGGAGGCGAAAGCGGCUCUCUGGACUGCAACUGACACUGAGGCGCGAAAGCUAGGGGAGCAAACAGGAUUAGAUACCCUGGUAGUCCUAGCCGUAAACGAUGGGCACUAAGUAGAGGGGUUUU